GAAACAUCGAUGGAUUAUAAGUAAAAGAAAUAAAAUAUUUCUUCAUCUGCCUUGGUGGUUCUCAGAAUAUUCAGCCAUUUAAUUAUCAGAUUUAACAUAGAUCAACCAUUUAAUUUCAAAAUUGGGUUUAACUAGGUCAGAAUAAAAAAUACCGUGCAUGUACCAGUACAGAGAAAGAAAAGAGAAAAAAAAAGUUUUAAAGGUG
rnacentral:lncRNA from 1 species